CCGUCGGCCCCUCGCGCCGCUAGGUCGAAAACCCCGCCAGGGCCGGAAGGCAGCAACGGUAUCGAUCGACGCGGGCGCCGAGGUCAGCCGG
rnacentral:SRP_RNA from 1 species